rnacentral:rRNA from 1 species
UACGAAGGGGGCUAGCGUUGCUCGGAAUCACUGGGCGUAAAGCGCACGUAGGCGGAUUGCUAAGUCAGGGGUGAAAUCCUGGAGCUCAACUCCAGAACUGCCUUUGAUACUGGCGACCUUGAGUCCGGGAGAGGUGAGUGGAACUGCGAGUGUAGAGGUGAAAUUCGUAGAUAUUCGCAAGAACACCAGUGGCGAAGGCGGCACCCUGGCAUCGGUCUGACGCUCAUGUGCGAAGGCGUGGGGAGCGAACGGG